rnacentral:rRNA from 1 species
GCAUGGUCUUAGCUUGCUAAGGCCGAUGGCGACCGGCGCACGGGUGAGUAACACGUAUCCAACCUGCCGUCUAUUCUUGGACAGCCUUCUGAAAGGAAGAUUAAUACAAGAUGGCAUCAUGAGUCCGCAUGUUCACAUGAUUAAAGGUAUUCCGGUAGACGAUGGGGAUGCGUUCCAUUAGAUAGUAGGCGGGGUAACGGCCCACCUAGUCUUCGAUGGAUAGGGGUUCUGAGAGGAAGGUCCCCCACAUUGGAACUGAGACACGGUCCAAACUCCUACGGGAGGCAGCAGUGAGGAAUAUUGGUCAAUGGGCGAGAGCCUGAACCAGCCAAGUAGCGUGAAGGAUGACUGCCCUAUGGGUUGUAAACUUCUUUUAUAAAGGAAUAAAGUCGGGUAUGCAUACCCGUUUGCAUGUACUUUAUGAAUAAGGAUCGGCUAACUCCGUGCCAGCAGCCGCGGUAAUACGGAGGAUCCGAGCGUUAUCCGGAUUUAUUGGGUUUAAAGGGAGCGUAGAUGGAUGUUUAAGUCAGUUGUGAAAGUUUGCGGCUCAACCGUAAAAUUGCAGUUGAUACUGGAUAUCUUGAGUGCAGUUGAGGCAGGCGGAAUUCGUGGUGUAGCGGUGAAAUGCUUAGAUAUCACGAAGAACUCCGAUUGCGAAGGCAGCCUGCUAAGCUGCAACUGACAUUGAGGC